UAGGUAAUUAAUUAUGGUUUCUUAUCUGUUUCUUUGCAAAUAAAUCAAACCUACUUCAGGAAACGAAAGAGAUUAAUAAGUUGUUUUACUUUCUCUAAGUAGUCCCCUUCAAGUGCACCAACAGCUAUAUAUAAUAUUAUUAUUUUUUAAAACGUACGAAAUAUACGUCUUUCGAUCUUUUUCGUGAUUUACUUGCAUUGAUAUAAAAUUGGACUGCAGGCCCCAUAAAGUUAGAAUUAUUGCAUGCACGCAUUGACGAAUAAGAGAAGUUAAAUAGUUAUAUAAUCUCAUUAAAUGGUUUGAUUUGUAAUUUAAUUAUAAUUUACACUUGAAAACGACCUCAAUAUUGGACGUACAGACAAAAUUCUACGCUUGAAGACUUGAAGUUCAAGCCAUGCAUUAAAUUUAACAGCAAGGACACUUGGGGUCAAAACUAAUCAUCUUACCUAAAAAGAAAAUUGAUGAUCAAGAAUAAAUUAACAACGAGAUAGUAUUGAGAAGUACAAAAUUAAGUUACAUAAACUACGUUUAUGCCAACAACGAUUGACUCACACUCACCUUUGUCUCACUUAUAGUACGUUUCUUUGUUCAUGUGUCUUCCUUUAUAUAUAUAUAUAUAUAUAUAUAUAGACAUGUAUGUAUGUAUGUAUGUAUGUAUGAUGCUAGCAUUUGUGUUUGGAAGUGUUUCUUUCUUUUCUUUUUUUUUAAUAAAAUCACUUUUAUAAAACUACUUAUAUCCCUACCUAUUAAUAAUCACCUUGAUUGUAAAUUUGUGAUAUGUGUAUUGUAAUAUAAUAACUGAAAUAAUCGCACUUCAGUAUUAUUUUCGAUCUAAAGAGUAUUUCACGAAAAGGAAAAAAAAUUGUUAAUUAGUUCUGAUCUGAAAAUUUAAUGCCAAAAUCACUCUAAAGUAGAUAUUAAUUCUUGCAUUAACCUAACAAAAAUAUCUCGAGAUUAAGAAAAACGUUAUGUGUUGUUUAAUUACAUUUUAACAGUAUUAAAAAUUCUCUCCAACCCACCUACAUCUAUUAAAUAAAUUAAAAAAGGGAAAAAUGUAUUAGCUCUUGGGCCUUAGCUUCAUGAUAAAUUUGAGACACGCAUCACUUUGCCUACAUAUAAAAGGACACGCAUGUAGAUAAAAAGGUUCUUAUCCCGUGACCAAUUAAAUAUAAUUCGUGUAUACAUGCCAAUAUGGCGCUAUCGAUUGAUAAUCAAACAAUAUUAUCUCAUCAUGCUAUACAAUAAUAUUAAGUUGACAAAAUUAUUCCGAAAAUGAUUUAGCUACAUUAAUAAUAUUAGUCUCUAAUGAUGCUGAGAUCAAUCAUACAUAUGCCAUGUCGCAAUAUUCGAAUCAAGUAAUUAUUUAUUGCUUAGAAAAUUAAAAUAUGCUGAUACACGUUCAAAAUAAUGUUAGAAAAUAAGUAGCCCAAUUCUCAGUGUAUAUGUAUCUUCCAAAUUUCUACCUUCAAUUUUGAUUUAAAAGAGAUUUGGUUCAUUGCAAAGUUAAAAGAUAUAUCAAGUGAAUAAAUAGCUUCAUCAUCGACUUAUUAUUAUGUACAAUGUACUGUUCUCGAACCACACAUCAUCUCAUACAAGAAUUUCAAACGAAAUGGGAAUAACUUGACCAAAUCAAAAUCUAAUUGUCAUGUGAAAGAGAUACAUUCGAGUUGCUAUUGAUGGCCACAAUAUUGAAGCCUUUUGAGUUCAUCCCUUUCAAAUUUGUUCGUCGUCUUUCUUUUUAUACCAUACCAGCUAUUACCAACCAAAACAAGAUUACAUGUAUUCAGCUUGUUCGGAAGUGAUGACUUUCAUGCGUAUCCCGUUUUGUAAUUCACAUGCAUAUAAAAAAACUUGCGUUUGCUUCUACAGGAAAAAAAUUAACGAGGAUAUUUCCCAAUUUCGGUAAUGGAAUCUGGGUCGGUUGAAAAAUGACCUGGGAAAAGAGUUGUUGGACAAUAUAUCAGAGAUGAAAUGAAUCAUCUAUGUAAGCAUGCAAAUUUACAAGAUUUGAACUAUUCUCUUUCGCAACUGUCAUCACUAACCAUAAUUUCUAAGGCGGUGGGGAUAUUUUCACACUACUAUUUUUUUAUAAGUUCACCCAUUUC
rnacentral:lncRNA from 1 species